rnacentral:lncRNA from 10 species
CCAGGUAGAACCAUGUAAAGACCCUGAGGCCAUGUUUAGUGUUCCAAACAAAUUAGUUCUGAACCCAAACUAAUUGGGUUCACAUCCUGGUACUGCCACAUACUAGCUAUGUGACCUUGUGCCAAUUCCAUGAUUUUCCUGUGCCUGUCUCCUGCCCUAGAUAAAUGGGAAUGACAGUUGCACCCACCUCAAGGUGUUAUGAGGCUAGAUGAGUUUCUGCAUGUCAAGCCCUCAGAGAAGUGCCUGGCAAGCAGACAGUGCUCAGCUGAGGAGGGCUUUCUUGGUUGUGCUGUCUUUCUGAGGCAACGUGGAGUCUACCAGUCACGGACAAAGGACUCUCUGAAGUCAGUCCCAGCACACCUGCACCAAAUAUCAGGAGGAAGGCAGAUGAAUACUUAAAGUCCAACAUGUCCCCCAACAAUGUGCUGAGUUUUUUACUCGGUAGACAACUGGGGAGGCACAGAAAUGAUGUGGAUCUGACAAAGUGGUUGUGGAUGCUGACACGAGCAAUGCCAGGGUGGAGCUGGCCUUUGCCAAAAAAAAUCACGUGACUUACAAGCACAUGCCUACACAGAAUCUUGGAAAAUAAUUUUUUUUAAAAAGUAUUAGAAUAAAAUUCUUCCCUAGCUUCAGCUAUUGAAAUAGAAGC